AUUGUUUGACCGAGUAGUAUGCUCGAGGUUUCCUGAUGUUCCUGUUUGGCACUACCCUAUUCACCGACCGGGCGAACACCAUCGGGCUAUACCUCAUGAGUGCUCUGGUGGACCUGUCUUAAGUCCGACUCUACGAUUGGGGCGGUGCUGGCUUGGCCACCUUGUACGGGUACGUGAGCUCGACGUCUCGCAGGAGCGGGCAUCUGAUAGAAGGCUACUGGAGGGCCUGGGAGCUAUGGGUAUACGCCUACUUUCCGAGAGUUCCCGGGAGUCCUUUCCCUUCUUCGCCGAUACUUCGAUACCGUGACCGCGACUGAGAUCACUUGGCAGCCUUGGGUGAUGAUGCCUGAGGGAGUCAGAGAUCAGUUCGCUGGUGACCGAGUGGCUUCUCACUUUCGGAUCCUGCUCGAUGGCACAGUUUGUCGAGCAUGGUUCUUAGGGGAGUGAUUCUUACGUCAGACCAUCAGCUUGCCUAAGCCAGUAGUUCCGAUUCCGCCUCCGACAUACAUGAGAGUCACAGAGAGGUACACUUCCUAGGAGAUGAUCGAUUUCACCCGAGGCUGGGACGUCGACUUCUUCUGAGUCGAGGGUGACUUCAUAGCCUUCAUCCAGACAUACCUUAUGCCACCUCUGACCGGGGCCCGUGGAGAUGAGAGACCAAGGGCUCCAACUGUGGGAGAGAGAGGUAGAGGGGCCGGAGCGACCAGGACCUAUGGCAGGAGAGGUUCUGGGGCGAGACAGAGGGCUAGGUGGCCGGAGCUACCUACCACACUCACCUAUCGACGACAUUCCGGGGAGGCUUACUAGAUUCCCAUUGAGCCCGCACCAGCUGGGUAUGAGCUUGUCGGGGUUUGAGGCCUGACUCUAGUAUAUACCAUACUUUACAUUUUGCAUAUUUACUUGAUUUCAGUUAUGCUUUAUAGAACACUAAUCUUCUCAACACAUUUGCAGGCACCUAUAGAGUACACCGGGCAGGUCCUCGAGCUAGUGGUUUCCUUGACGCAGAUGGUGCAGAGGAGUAUGAACCUGCUCAGCCUCUACAGGAUUCCGGCAAUUUACUUCAGUUUGCACUUCAUGCCAUGAGACUUCCUGCCGAUACAUCAGCAUCUCAAACAUAAGUUGUUCUAGACUGCACUGUUCUGGCACACUGCACUCAAACACUGCAGUCAAAUGCUGCACCCAAACACUAUACUUAAACACUGCAUUCAAACACUGUGCUCAUACACUACAUUCGAACACUACUUUCAAACACUGUACUCAAACACUGCAUUUGAACUGUAUCUUUUUGCGUUAGGUCUACACCAUGACUGAUGUAUUUGACAAACUGCCCUUUUCAGAUCCCGGGCACAUUGGACGUUCCAGCGGGACCUACAGCAGGACCAUCUAUACCUCCUCCGGUAGUAGAGAGAGAGAGAGACAGGAGCUCCGGCUCGCAGUCGAGGUAGAGCUAGGGGCACCCAUGAUGAGGGUGGCCCUUCAGAGCCCAUUCUAGACGAUGAUGAUGAUGAGACGAGUGAGGACGAGGAGGUAGCGAGUCCACAAUUAGAGUCAUCUGAAGACGGAGAGAGCGAUGUCGGCUCAAAUUCUAAGGGCGGAGAUGAUGCUGAGGCUGGUUCAACAACUAGCUCAGACUCGGGGGCCUUUGACAGCGACGCUGAUGGUGAUAGCUCUGAGUCCAUGCCCAGGAAGAGGACGAAGAGGGCCUCUCGAUCCUGAGGUGGAUGGCAUUGAUUUAGAUGUUUUGCUUAGUCUCUUUUGCCUUUUUUUUUUUUUUAGCUGGUAGUGUUAGCACAUUGUAUUGUUUUAUUUUCUUAAAAACUUGUACUCUUUUGUAAAAAGAAA